rnacentral:piRNA from 1 species
UUAAAGUUUACCGUUUCUGUGUGUC